UGUAGGUUAUUGGGGGAGGGGAGUAUUACGGGGGUUUAAUAGCUGUGUUACUUUUGUUUAAGGGAGAAGCUUAAUCGCUGCACAUCUUUGCGUAGAGGAAGGAGGUUUAGUGACUGAACGCCCCACUCCCUUUUCAGUUAAUUUCUGUAUGUUUGCCUAGUCACUUUAGAUUGUAAACUCUUCAGGGCAGGGGCCGUGUCUUACCUUGUUUAAUGUGCUUUUUGUAAACUGCUGUGUGUGUUGAUGGCAUGGUAUUCAAAUAAAUCUACACAUACAUACAAUGUUUGUUCUAGUAUAUUCCAGCCAAUCAAGAUGCUCAACUUUCAGUUAGUUCACCUUUUUCCCAACAGGUGGCAUUAGUAUGUAGUAUAGUAAGUGAUCCAAACAUUUAAGUAGGGCUUCUUAACAGAUGGCACCAUGAUUCAGUCAAAAAUGUAGGUCACUACCUACAUGAGGGUAUUCUUGCUGGAAUACUUAACUAUUUGACCAUGCUCAAAUAAUAGUCAAUUCACCAGUUUGCCAAGCCUAAUCCAGAAAGUUGAAGGAAGGGCACACCUUCCUUCAGUCCCCUGUUGCAGCAACCAGGAGUCUGAGUGAGGUGUAAAGAAGCGGAGUCCCUCCACCUUAUCCUGCUGGCAGCCAGGAGGCUCUGAAUGGGAAGAGGUUGGGGAGAAACAGAGAAAGUUUCUUCAACCUUUUAACAUCUGGAGGGUUGAUUGUGUGUGGUGUUAGUAAGGAUGUAUUUAUUGUCCAUCUGUUAGAUGAAAGGUGAUUCAAAAGGGGUCUCCCUAAAUCCUGCUUGAGAGUCUCUUCCCAUACAGGGAUGUGAGCCCUUGCCCGUUCUCAACAUGGGGGUGGAGGGUUGGACUUCUUACUAGGGUAUUAUAGGUUGUAGAUCUCGCUCAAUCUGUUUUAUAUGGCUCAGUCUAUCUAGUACACAUCAUACUUCCAAAGCCCUGGAAUAAAUGUUUCAUGAAAAAAUAAAUCAAUAAAAAUCAGGCUGAAUAAUUUAGUGUUUAGAGCAGGGAACAGUAGGCACUGUGAGUUUUGUUCCCAUUUUUGCCACUGACUCAAUGUGUGACUUUGGACAAGUCUGCUUCAUCUUAUAUAUAGUGGUGUCCCUUACAGUCUCAUGAGCAGAUACCUCAGUUAUUUUCAUGUAAUAAAUAUAGAGAAUUAACUGAGAUGUAUCAGAUAUCACCAUAUAAUGGUGGGUAACUUAAAAAGUUAAAUUUUAUGUCCAUAGCACACAUAGAAAGGGAUAUCUACGCAUGGCUGUAAAACCCUUGGUGAUUUAUUGUUUGAAAAGCCCUAUAUAAGUGCAAAUAAUUUAACGGAUACCUGGGGAAGUUUCAACAUUUCUGUGCCGGUUGAUAGUUUUUUAUUUAUUUUGUAUAAGUUGCCUGCAAACUAUGGCUUGGAGUCUGCGAACUAGAGUGCCCAGAACAGUGGGUUGGGGCCUGUUGGCAAACUUCAACGAAAGGACAUUUUCCCAUUUAUUUAAAUGGGGGGAAAUACAUCUCCCCUAAUUCCUCACCUACCCCCUUCCCCCAUUCCAAAUGGAGUGUGUACAGACAGACACAGGGAUUGAGGAAGCUCUUCAUAAAGACAUGUUUUUAGGGUGGAUGAUACUUGUUUGUCUCUAAAAUUCCUGAACACCAUCUGCCUUUGAAAUAAACAAUUUUAAAUAAAAUCAUUUCAGCGUGCAUUUAAAAAUAUGCAGAUAAACUUAUUUAUAAAUAUUUUUCCUAUUCAAGGGUACUUUGCUAUUUUUAUUUAACUGGUUCACAGGGAAGAUGGCAGUCUCCAUGAAGUCAAUGUAUCUUUCCAUUUUUAUUAAAACAGAUUUAAAAAAAUGAUUUUACACAUGCUAGUCAAGUUUCAGAAUUACACAAUCACUGACGUUUUCCUUUUACAAAAUGAAAUAGAUUGGAGAAUGUGAACCAGGAAGUUUGGAGAUAUUUCAUCUAGGAAAUCCGUGUCAGACCAAUUUAUCUUCCUUUGGCCUACCAACAUCGGAAAAAACAAAAACAGCAGCCUAGAAUUUUUAACUACCCUAUCUAUAAUCAGUUUGUUCAUUUCCCAAGAAAGCAUGCAACUACACCGGACCCUCGCUAGAACGCGGGAUUUGGGAUCCAUGCGCAGUACCACUUUAAUGCAGGGACAGCGUUAUAGCGGGGACCACGUUAAAAUUAAUUGCAAUUAAAGUAUUUAAAUUUGGGAUCCAUGCCCACCAGCGCGUUAUAUGCGAAUUCACGUUAUACAGAUGUGCGUUCUAGCAAGGAUCCGGUGUGUUACUGCUGGGUCCUCAGUUUCAGCGCCUCAGGUGUCAGUGUUUGAGUUAAUUUGUAACAAGCUCUUAGGGUCUUACCAAAGCUCAUUGAAGUCAAUGGGUGUCUUUCCUUUGACUUCAGUGGUCAUAGGAUCAGGUCCUUAGUUGUCUAAAAGAGAAUAUUUGCUCUCAUUCUUAACUUGUGUUAUGCUGGCCAUCAUAAUAAAACUUUUUCAGUAUCUUCUAAAAUUAUCUGGCCAUCUAAAACUUGUGUAGACAUUUUCCUACUUCUCAUGAGUAUAAUAUGCAUCUUUGUUGACUUGCCUUAAAUGUCAAGAUAAAAGACUUCUGUCAAAGCACAUACAACUAAACUGCCAAGAGGUAAGAUCCAGUGUUUCUAGCAGGCAAAGUAGUGUAACAGUUGUACUUAAAGCUGAACUGCAAAGCCAAAAAUUUGUCCCCUUCUCUUUAUGGUGUUAUCUGUGUUACUAUUGCAAGCUGCACUUUUAGGCGCCCCCCACCCCCCCUUUAGUCCCUUUGAUGACGGAACUAGAAUGGUCAGUUUAUCUGCUUUGUGUCAUACAUAAGCAAACUAUUAGGUUUGGAUUUUACAAAACUGCAGAGGAGUGUUUAAAUAUUUCAAAAUAAAAAUCUGUUAAUGCAUUUAAAAUUUUUAUCAUAGUCUUUGUUCUAAACAAAUCCUAAAUUUCAAAUCUAAACUAAAUAACAAAACCCUUCAAAUUUUUAGGUAUGAAAGGGGAACAUAUAUUAAUCCUGACUUUUUUUUUUAAAGUGUUACUGAAAGCUAUGUUCUCAUCAAGAUGACCACUUCAAAGGAAAAAAAGGGAGAAACUGGAGAACAUCUGCAGCUUUAGUAGAUUUCAAUAGCAUUUCCAUCAUGGUACUGUUAAAGGAAAACUCCAGUGUAAUAAGAGCAAUUGCAUCAUGUAAUUACAAAGAAGAAAUCAAGUGUCUUGUAUAUAAUAAAAUAAAACACACACACAAAAAGGACAUUCUCUGUGUAGUGAUCAGCUUUUGCUGUUAAAGUAUUCUCUUAUUUAAUUAACUGCUGUCCAACAUAUUACAAAUCAUUGGUCUUUUCCUUCACACUGUCUUAUUUCACAGUGUAUCUUAUACAAUGAUCUCUUACGAUUUAUUUAAAUAGCAGAUUCGGGAAAUCCAAUUUGUUAUCCUAGUUAGACAUUUAGGUCAUGUCUAUACAUACAGCAUUGCAGCAGCGCAUAUAGUGAAGAUGCUCUAUGCCAAUGGGAGAGAGCUCUCCCAUCGGCAUAAAAAACCCACCUCCACAACAUAGCACCGUGCACAUGGAUGCUUAUGUCAGUGUAGCUUAUGUCACUCAGGCAGUGGAAUGUUCAUACCCCUGAGCGACAUAAGUUCUGCUGACAUAGGCUGUAGUGUAGACAAAGCCUUAAAAACAUCUUGGAUCCUCUCCUGCUGAAUAUGGCAUUCUGAAACAUAUCUGGAAAGGUCUCAGGUUCCAUAUCUGUGGGAGGCUAUUAUACUAAGUAGGAAAACUACCUUGCUCAGUUUUUAAAAAAAAAAAAAAAAACAGUUCCACAGCUCAAAGCGGAGUAGUUUCACUUGGAGAGCUUAUUUAAAUAAUUUUUAUUUUGGAGAGUUUCCUGCUCCUGUUACAAAACCUCAAGGAUUGCAUUCAGGUAAUGGUUUUUGUUGGAGUCAUGAGGAAAUAUAGUAUAAGCCCCAAAGGUGUGAAGACUUAAACAUAUGUGUAACUUUGCACAUGAGUAUUCCCAUGGGCUCUCUGCCCCAAACUACUCCACAACUUGAAUCAGUGGGGCUGUUCUCACUGUUUAUAUUGGUGAAACUCUACCCAAGUGUUUCAGGUUGCUCGUGUAUAUGUGCCUAAGUCUUUGUGGAUUUAGUGCUACUGCGAUGAAAGUAUUAAAAGAAGCAAAAUGGAUCUGGUGUUAUCCCAGUAUUCCAGAAAGGAGAAAAAAAUGUGUACAAUUUAGUAUUUGAGUCUUGCUAGUGGUUUCCCAUUUGCUGAGAAAAAAUCUGUUUCAAAUAUGUAGUUGACUGUAAACAUCUUAGUAACAGUUUUAGAAAAUUACAUACCAUACAAAUACUAUUUAUUAGCUACAUUCAAGUGAAUCUAAUUAGCAAGAACAAGAUAAUAGAAGGGAGAAGCGGAAAGGAGGUGGAGAGAACAGGAAAGGAUACCAUAUGCAAUCCUCAUGAUACAGACUAACACCUUAUUGCUGUAGAGUGUCUUUACUAUAUACUUCCAGGAAUGAAGACUAUAUUUCUUCAAAGGAAGCCACGCUCUGACUUACCAAGAGGAAAACUCUCAAGACUUACUAGGUCAUUGAACUUGUACCAGACACUAAUAGGAAACUUUCUUCUGCUUUCCAUUUCUUUGCAGUAUGAUUUUUUUGUGAUUAGUGUGGGUUUGAGAAGUAGAUAAGUCCCUCAGUUCUCUGUUAUAUCCAGGAAUAAAUAACAAAGGAUCACAUGAUAAACUGAAGAUCAAAUUCAAAUUAAACUAGAUAAGUAUUGCCGGAAACCUUUAUCUAAUAACCACAUGGCAUAUGUCUGUGGCCUGGUCUACAACUACAAAGUUAGGUCAACAUAAGUUGCUUUGCGUCAACCCUAUUUGUGUAUGUGUCUACGGACUACAUUCAAAUUUGUCUCCGGCCGACAUAAGUGCCCCGUUACAGCAACACAGUAAAACCACCUCCCCCUAUGGCAUUGAGUCCCGGUUGACCUACUGAGUUUGAUGUAGUGCAAGUGUAGACAGUGUGUGACCUCUGUUGAUCCUAACAGUCUUCCAACAGCUGUCCCACAAUGCCCUGUUCCCUGCUGCAGUAGCCACUUCAGUCACAAUUCUGAACUCGACUGCUAGGAUCACAGACUGGAAACCACCCCCACACCCUAUUUAAAAACACCCUUUGAAGUGUCUUUUCCUGAUUGCCCAGCCUGAUGAGCGCACCUAAUAACUCUCCUUUGAGUGUGCAACUGCCCAACCGACCAUGCAGGUGCCACACACUAGACUCCUCCAUGGAAUAGACAGGAUGUAUGUAUUUCCUGGGCCUGUGAGGAGAAGAGGCUAUGCAAACAUUGCUAUGGACCAGCUAUAAGAAUGAGAACAUCUACGAAAAGAUUGCACAGGGGAUGCAGGCAAAUGGGUAUGAAGUGCCAUGUGAAAGUAAAGGAACUACAACAGGCAUAUCACAACAGUUGAUCUUGUGCUGAGCUGCUGACCUGCCACUUUUACACCAAGCUGCAUGCCAUAUUUGGCAGAGAGCCCAGCAGCUGCAAGCAGACCACCCUGAAAACUUUGGAGGAGUCUGAGACCCCCUGCCCGUGAACAGUGAGGAGAAGAAGCGGGGAAGAUGCAGUGGAGGGAUCCAGUCAUGCCACGAGUCAGAACCUGUUAGUCUCCACCACCAUCUAGCCAGUCCUGCCAGCCAAACACAGAUGAGCCCAGUGAAGGGGAAAGAACCCUGGCUGCUGCCACUUUGGCCUUGAUGGGUGCCCCUGCUACACUCUCAGAACACCUUAACUUGAUGAGAAGGAGAAAGAAGAGGACAUGUUCGGCAAGAUCCUGCAAGCCAGUGCUGCAUCAGACCAUGAACAAAGGGCAUGGAGGGCUGACAUUGCAGACAGCAAGAAGAGGGAUAGAGUGGACAGGAGACAGGCCCAGGAAUCCCAGCAGGAAAAGGAGAGGGAAAUGCACCAAGACAUAAUGGGGAUUCUGAGGCAGCAAACAUAAAUGCCACAGAGCCGACGCUGGUUGACAUACAGGUCCAGCAAUCCCGGACUCCUCACCCUUUGCAGUUGUCUGAGAAUUGCCUGGUACCAGCUCCCUGCCUUCCCCAACAUUCCAUCUGGUCUCACGGGCCACCUAUUUACCCCUACUAUUCCACGCCAAGGGACAGCAAGGAAAACCACAGCUUCGCAUAUGCUGACCUAUGAGAGCCAUGGCUGGUGUAUGUGUAGCCACAAUUUUAAUUACAUUGCUAUUUUUUUGCACAUUAUUUUUUCUGAACUGUUUUUACUACUCCAAUACAUUUCAAUUUUUUUUCCAAAUAAAAUGUUCUUUAUUAGUUCACAAUACAUGGUGCAGAAUACAUAGUGGUUCUCUAAGCACCCAGUACUUGAGCUCUUCUAAUGGCCCACUUGUCUGCCUGUCCAGACAGUCUCUCCACUUCUGCCCUCCACUCUGGGUGCAGAUUUUCCCCUUUACCUCACAGUUACUAUGCAGGACACAACAGGCAUUUCUGACCAUUGGGAUAUUUUUCUCACGGAGAUCCAAUUUAGUGAGUGAACACCACUCGUGUACCUUUAAUCUAUCAAAAGCACAUCAAACUGUCAUUCUGCACCUGCUGAGUUGGUAGUUGAAUCUUUCCUUGAUGCUCUUCAAGGUGGCUUAUGUAUGACUUCGUGUGGGUACUUCUGGAGGGUAGGCACAAUGGUUGAAUUUAGUAGUAAAAGCUUUAAUCUCUGUCCUG